GAGGCACAAGUCCAUUGCGGUUGUUUAUUGUUUGGGGAUUCAGUUUCAUGGUGGUAUAUGAUUUUCUGGAUCUGGUUAUCGCUGGAUUGUGAUUUGUUGGUUUGGCAACAAAAGUUCGUUGCUUGUAGCAAGGGGAAUCAUAUUGGUUGAAACCUUGAAGUUGAACAUGAAGGGCACAAUGUUGAUUUCCAUUGGGUGUUUCCCUUGUUGAGCACAUUAGUAGAUGGUCUCUUAUUGAAUUAUGGCAGUGAUAGUGUGGUAUUGUUGUGUAUUUUGUUUUCUUCUUUUAGUAGACCAAUUAUUUCAGAGCAAUUAAUUUG
rnacentral:lncRNA from 1 species